rnacentral:rRNA from 1 species
GCGUCGAGCGGCGGACGGGUGAGUAAUGCCUAGGAAAUUGCCCUGAUGUGGGGGAUAACCAUUGGAAACGAUGGCUAAUACCGCAUAAUGCCUACGGGCCAAAGAGGGGGACCUUCGGGCCUCUCGCGUCAGGAUAUGCCUAGGUGGGAUUAGCUAGUUGGUGAGGUAAUGGCUCACCAAGGCGACGAUCCCUAGCUGGUCUGAGAGGAUGAUCAGCCACACUGGAACUGAGACACGGUCCAGACUCCUACGGGAGGCAGCAGUGGGGAAUAUUGCACAAUGGGCGCAAGCCUGAUGCAGCCAUGCCGCGUGUGUGAAGAAGGCCUUCGGGUUGUAAAGCACUUUCAGUCGUGAGGAAGGUGGUAUUGUUAAUAGCUCUAUUAUUUGACGUUAGCGACAGAAGAAGCACCGGCUAACUCCGUGCCAGCAGCCGCGGUAAUACGGAGGGUGCGAGCGUUAAUCGGAAUUACUGGGCGUAAAGCGCAUGCAGGUGGUUUGUUAAGUCAGAUGUGAAAGCCCGGGGCUCAACCUCGGAAUAGCAUUUGAAACUGGCAGACUAGAGUACUGUAGAGGGGGGUAGAAUUUCAGGUGUAGCGGUGAAAUGCGUAGAGAUCUGAAGGAAUACCGGUGGCGAAGGCGGCCCCCUGGACAGAUACUGACACUCAGAUGCGAAAGCGUGGGGAGCAAACAGGAUUAGAUACCCUGGUAGUCCACGCCGUAAACGAUGUCUACUUGGAGGUUGUGGCCUUGAGCCGUGGCUUUCGGAGCUAACGCGUUAAGUAGACCGCCUGGGGAGUACGGUCGCAAGAUUAAAACUCAAAUGAAUUGACGGGGGCCCGCACAAGCGGUGGAGCAUGUGGUUUAAUUCGAUGCAACGCGAAGAACCUUACCUACUCUUGACAUCCAGAGAACUUUCCAGAGAUGGAUUGGUGCCUUCGGGAACUCUGAGACAGGUGCUGCAUGGCUGUCGUCAGCUCGUGUUGUGAAAUGUUGGGUUAAGUCCCGCAACGAGCGCAACCCUUAUCCUUGUUUGCCAGCGAGUAAUGUCGGGAACUCCAGGGAGACUGCCGGUGAUAAACCGGAGGAAGGUGGGGACGACGUCAAGUCAUCAUGGCCCUUACGAGUAGGGCUACACACGUGCUACAAUGGCGCAUACAGAGGGCAGCAAGCUAGCGAUAGUGAGCGAAUCCCAAAAAGUGCGUCGUAGUCCGGAUUGGAGUCUGCACUCGACUCAUGAAGUCGAAUCGCUAGUAUCGUGAUCAGAUGCCACGUGAAUACGUCGCUUGUUACACACGCCGUCACAUGGAUUGGC